GUGUGUAGGAGAGAUAAAAGAGAACAAGAGAAAGAGAACAGGCCAUCAGUGAGGUGGCAUGCAAAUGUGCAAUUUGCUUAAAUCCCUACCCCUUUUGGGUCUAGAAUUAAAAAAAAAAUACAUUCCACAGCUGCCUCCCUUGCCCUCUUUCUCUCGGAGGUAACCCCAGGGCUGUGUGCAUGAGAAAAAAAAAACACCAGCAAUACUGAAAAUUUCAUUGCUUCGCACUCCUAGUGCGUUCACUCUACAGCUGCAGAGUGCACGCCUCAAUUGCAUUCCCACUCCUUUUUGGAGAUUGGAGAUCCCCGCAAUUCCAUUCCUUCAUAACUCCAUGGAAUAGUGAGUUGGACCAAUCCCACUCCUGGUGUCGGUGGGCUGGUUCAUUUCACUCCUUUAAUUCUAGUAAAUGAAAUGCUUUCUUAUAAUUGUUUACUACUUGCACUUGCGUGCCUAGCAGCAAAAGAAAAUAUAUUUUUUAAGUUCUAACAACGUAAAAAAAAAAUUUAUGUACAAUUUUUUUGCACAAGAGCAAUCAAGCUUUGCGGUCUCUCAUCUCUUCAGGGAGCUGUUAAUUGUAAUCUUUGUGUCCCCCAUAAUGGGCAGAGGCAUAGCCAGAAAAUUUUCCGGGGGGGGGGGAGGAGAGGGGGAGGCACUUCCUUGGCUUGGGACGGGAGCUUGGGCAGGCCGCAAACUAACCCAAAAAUUUCAGGCAGGGGGGCGCAUGCCCACUGUUCACUCCGUGCACUCCUUCAUUUCUUAAGUAGUAGUACAGGAGUUAACUAGUUGCCAUCUUUAAAUGCACUUCAACAUUGUAACAACGAAAAGUUUCUGGAUCAUCAGAAGUGCAGAAUGUGUAGAAUACCGUGUUGUUUAUGAUUAUUACUACAGUAGGGGUAGUCCCCACUAGGCACUGUAUUUACUCGCAUAAUGAUCGCACUUGUUUGUAAAAAAAUUGACACAAAUUCAGGGGUGCGAUCAUUACGCGGGUUAAAUUUCCCGCAUUUGCUGUGGGAUGACAACAGGUCAACGAAUAGGCGGCUGCUGCUGUAACAGUGCGGGACACCGAAACAAAAAUGGCGGCCGGCGGAGCAAGCCAAACGCGACGAACACAAUUUUUUCCUUCUGGUGAAUAAAUUAUGCACAGUGAAACAGUUUCUUCCAUAUCAGUAAUGCAUAAUAUCAUUAUUGUCAGCAAGUUUGCGGCGAUAACGAUAAGUUUGCGGCGAUAAUGCGGCGACCACAUUGAGGGGACAGAAACAGAGAUGGGUGCGCUUAGCUGCCAGUGACAGAAACCAAUGGUGGGCAUGCUGCGGAAACUGCGGCAUUUGUCUUCACUACUAUCUUAAUACAGCACGCUUCCUCUAUGGGUGGGCAAAUAUCUUAGCUUUGUUGCAGGCGUCCGCGCAUGAAUAGGGUAUGCUUCUAAUGUAUCAGUGUAAACGUGGCUCCUAUCGUUGCCACUCGCAAUUUGUUGCAUGCCCACGAGUGCAGACGAGAAGAAUCGAAAAGUACCUUUUUUGUUGUUGUUGACCACAACCAUCGUAAAGCCUACAAAUAAUAAAGCCAAGCUGAGUUUAGUUGUAGCUUUUUUUUCAUGGAAGUGCAGAAAGUGAUGAAAGGAAUGAUAUGCAGCAUCUGUUUAAGGGUAUUCGGGCGUGCAGGUCACUUGGUAUGUCUUGAAGAGUCAUUCACGUAGCAUUCGACAGAUGGUGAGCGCGAUCAUCAUUAGCUAGACUUGGCACACUACAUAUCGCUGUGGCAAGUUUGGGGUGCGAUCAUUACGCGAGUGCAAUCAUUGUGCAAGUAAAUACGGUAGUUAUUGAAAGAGCCAUAUUGAGUAAAAAUUGAGAAAUGUAAUAAACUAAGUCCAGCUCAGUCUAAUUGCCAAACUUAGCAGUUCUGUAGUCUCGCUGAAAAUCAACAUUUAGUGCUCCGGUACAAUGUGCCCAUUCCAUUGCAACUCCAUUCUAGAAUCUUGGGCUCCCAUUUCAUUCCCAUUGCAUCUGACAGGCUGUUGCCAUCAUUCCGCUGCCGCUGCAUUCCAGGUGUUUGGAAAUUGGAAGUGAUUCCAGAAUCAUUCCAACUCUGGAGUUGCGACUCUGCAACUCUGGCUCAUUCCAAGCACUGAAUUACUAACACUACAAAGCAAGCUUUACGAUUUUAGUAAGUCGCUCUUACAAGGAAUUCUGCAACGAAUCAUAACAAAUAGCUUUAGGUUCCUUAUGUGACCGAGAGCUGCAGCAAGAAAUCUCCACAAAGAAAGAAACUUUUUCCCUGCAUCAGCCCAUGAUGUGCUCUGUUCAUUGUGAUGACACAGCAGACAAAAUUUGAGGGCCUGAUUGCUGGCAUUUUUAUACAGUGCAACAGAGGUUUCUGGAGAGUCAAGUCAGCAGAAAAGCCUUUGCUCCUUCACACUGUCACGGCCAGAGUAGAACAACUUGACCUUGACAAAAUACAUCAGGCAACUGACCAACAACGUGAGUUUGCAUAUUCCCAUGCCCUGGACUGCACGUAUUUGUGAUUUCAGUAUGGCGGCACACAAUGCCUCUUCUCGGGAAGACUGCUCAAGCCUUCGCGACACGUUUGUUCUGAUGAAAUGCGCUUUUGAAAUUUUGUUAAGACAUUUAUCUUGAUCUCCUACACUAUAGCAUAUUUGUAUGUAUACUGUUGGUGUGAGUAAAGUUUUUUCGAGACAAAAUAUUGCUUGCAAUAAACUUUUGCUGUAUUCAUGAG